AGGUAGAGCAAAUCACAAAACUACGGUCUCAGUUCAGAUUGCAGGCUGCAACUCGCCUGCAUGAAGUUGGAAUUGCUAGUAAUCGCGAAUCAGAAUGUCGCGGUGAAUACGUUCCCGGGUCUUGUACACACCGCCCGUCACACCAUGGGAGUCGGAAAUGCCCGAAGUCAGUGACCCAACCGAGAGGAGAGAGCUGCCGAAGGUGGAGCCGGUAACUGGGGUGAAGUCGUAACAAGGUAGC
rnacentral:rRNA from 1 species